UACGUAGGGAGCAAGCGUUGUCCGGAAUCAUUGGGCGUAAAGCGCGCGUAGGUGGCCACAUAAGUCCGUUGUGAAAGUCAAAGGCUCAACCUUUGAAAGCCGAUGGAUACUGUGUGGCUAGAGUACGGAAGAGGAGAGUGGAAUUCCUGGUGUAGCGGUGAAAUGCGCAGAUAUCAGGAAGAACACCAAUGGCGAAAGCAGCUCUCUGGGACGGUACUGACGCUGAGACGCGAAAGCGUGGGGAGCGAACAGG
rnacentral:rRNA from 1 species